GGGGAAUUUUGGACAAUGGGCGCAAGCCUGAUCCAGCAAUGCCGCGUGCAGGAUGAAGGCCUUCGGGUUGUAAACUGCUUUUGUACGGAACGAAAAGCCUCUCUCUAAUAUCCGUUGUUGAUGACGGUACCCGCAUAAGAAGCACCGGCUAACUACGUGCCAGCAGCCGCGGUAAUACGUAGGGUGCGAGCGUUAAUCGGAAUUACUGGGCGUAAAGCGUGCGCAGGCGGUUUCGUAAGACAGACGUGAAAUCCCCGGGCUCAACCUGGGAACUGCGUUUGUGACUGCGAGGCUAGAGUACGGCAGAGGGGGCUAGAAUUCCACGUGUAGCAGUGAAAUGCGUAGAGAUGUGGAGGAAUACCGAUGGCGAAGGCAGCCCCCUGGGUUAGUACUGACGCUCAUGCACGAAAGCGUGGGGAGCAAACA
rnacentral:rRNA from 1 species